GCUCAGAUCCUUUAACUCGUUCUGGCUCAUCUGAAUCUUUCAGAAUUCAACCCGUGCUACAUACAGAUUCUGGUACACAGCAAAUCUCAAAUGUUUUUCAGGGUAUUAAAUAGGAUAAUGUAUGUAAUAUACAUACCUGGAUGCCUGAAACAUAAGUGAAAUACAAUACAAGAAAUACAAGGAAAAGUUUACCAGGAUCUAGAGAGCUGAAAGGAGAAUCACUCUCAACCUUACUAUGAAGAAAAACCAGGCAGAUCAAUUCAUGACACUUCUUGACACUGUAGAACACUGAAGCUGCAGGACAACUAACUGACCCAAAAAUGUAAGAAAAGACAUGUGUCAGCAGUGACAGAACUAUGCUAGCACUGGUUGACCUAGGGAAGAUAUAACCAGACACCAAGGAGAGAUUGUGAAGUUCCUGUAGAGCUACAGAAACUGAAAUUGUGCAUUUCCUUCAGGGUUUUUUUUCUCCAUGAGCUCCACUGGGUGUUCACAGGAAAGAUUGGAGGUAGUCCCAUGAACGUGUUCAUUGAGGUACUGACAUGGGGGAAGGGAAGAGCAGCAGUGAAGGAGGAUCGUAACACUCAACCGAGACCCUGCUCUCUCAAACAGAGCAAAAGCCCAACUCUGUGGGAGAAAGGACAACAUAUGUCAUUGCGUUUAAGGCAUUGGUGAAAAUCUACUGCAGCUGAGGGAAGAGACAGAAAGAAAAACUUCUGCACUGAAAGGAAAGCAGGCAUACUAUGGGGUCCAGGCUGUAACUGGAGAAGGAAGACGUGGUCACAUCUCAGAGACCCUGGGAUAUAGUGCCUUUCGAAAGACCGAGGCUUAAUCAGAAAAAGAGAAUACUCUUCUCCCACCACUACCAGGUUAACAAGUGUUCAGUAACAAGUAAUAAGGAAGUACUGCUGGAGAAGAAUAGAGGAAAAACCCGAGAGUGGAGUUCUCUGAGACAUGGUGCAAAAAGAAGACCACAAACUGAUGGUAGAGCAGAUAUUGAGAUAAACCCUUUUACAUCCUAGCCCAUACCCUAAAUACCGAUAUAUCAGUAGAGGAAUUUGAAGCCCUGAAGCCUGUGGUCUGAUGAGAGUGAACAUAGCAACAUCAGACUCAGCAGUUCUGAUUGCAGCACUCCAGAGUUAAUGACAUACAUCAAACGCCAAAGCCAAGAAGCUCAGAAACCCACGCAGGAUAAGUACCAAACACACACACCCCUAGUCAUUCAUAUAUUCAAUCCGCUGAACAUGAAGAAAAAGAGAAAAUCUUGAAAACAGCCAAAGGAAAAACACAUAUGCAGAUGAAAAAAAUAAGAACUGUAACAGACAACUUGUCAGAACCAUGACUUCAAACAGUAGUAAAGACUUAACCAGACAAACAAAAACUGGGAAAAUUCAUUGCCAGCAGACUGACACUACAAAAAAAGCUAAGGAAGCGGUUCUGCAGGCAGAAGAAAUUAGGAUAUGAGACGGAAACCUGGAUUAUUACAAAGAAGAGAAGAGCCUUGAAAAUAGAAAAAAAAAAGAUAAAAUGAGAUUGAUUUCACUUAUUUGUGGAGCAUAACAAAUAUCAUGGAGGACAAGGGGUGUUAGAGAGGAGAAGGGAGUUGGGGUAAAUUGGAAAGGGAGGUGAAUCAUGAGAGACUGUGGACUCUGAGGGGUUUGAAGUGGCGAGGGGGUGGGAGGCUGGGGUACCAGGUGGUGGGUAUUAUAGAGGGCACGGAUUGCAUGGAGCACUGGGUGUGGUGAAAAAAUAAUGAAUACUGUUUUUCUGAAAAUAAAUCAAUUUUAAAAAAUGAGA